GAUGCCCCUCCUUCUUCGACUAACCCGCUGCAGAGGAGCCGUGAGAGCCAGGAACUUGUGAGUUUUGUAUGUCCACUCAGGCAUCAUUCACACCUGGUCUGUAGGAAGUUCCUGUCAGAAGGAGGGGGGCACCGCGAGGGCGUCCAGGGGCGGAAGGCGGUGCCUUAGUGCCUCCCUCCUUCUGACAUUGUAAAAGAACCCUAACUGUAUUUUUUUUUUAAUAGUAAUAUAGAUGUAUAUGUGUGUUUUAUGUCCUCAGAUGAGGUUUGAAGUGUCUGUGUGGUGCAGCUGGCCUGGUCUGUCUCUAUACAGUCGAGGCUGCACCCACCUAUAAAAAGGUGGAGGCUCACCAGGACAUGCACACCUCACAAGUUCCUGGCUCUCUCGGCUCGGUUGAAGACGGGUUUCUUCGAGAAGGGGAGGGCAGUGAGGCACAGUCCCCCGCCCCCCGACGCCCCUCGCGAUGCCCCUCCUUCUUCGACUAACCCGCUGCAGAGGAGCCGUGAGAGCCAGGAACUUGUGAGUUUUGUAUGUCCACUCAGGCAUCAUUCAUACCUGGUCUGUAGGAAGUUCCUGUCAGAAGGAGGGGGCACCGCGGGGGCGUCCAGGGGCGGAAGGCGGUGCCUUAGUGCCUCCCUCCUUCUGACAUUGUAAAAGAACCCUAACUGUAUUUUUUUUUAAUAGUAAUAUAGAUGUAUAUGUGUGUUUUAUGUCCUCAGAUGAGGUUUGAAGUGUCUGUGUGGUGCAGCUGGCCUGGUCUGUCUCUAUACAGUCGAGGCUGCACCCACCUAUAAAAAGGUGGAGGCUCACCAGGACAUGCACACCUCACAAGUUCCUGGCUCUCUCGGCUCGGUUGAAGACGGGUUUCUUCGAGAAGGGGAGGGCAGUGAGGCACAGUCCCCCGCCCCCUGAUGCCCCUCCUUCUUCGACUAACCCUCUGCAGAGGAGCCGUGAGAGCCAGGAACUUGUGAGUUUUGUAUGUCCACUCAGGCAUCAUUCAUACCUGGUCUGUAGGAAGCUCCUGUCAGAAGGAGGAUGCACAGUGAACAGUUGAACCCCAGUCGGCAGCGACAGAUGGCCACCCCUUCCUGAGCCUGGUUCUGUCGGAGGUUUCUCCCUGUUAAAAGGGAGUUUUUCCUCCCCACCGUCGCCAAGUGCUUGCUCAUAGGGGAUUUUUGGGGCUUUUUUUUAAAACCAACCGCUGAUAAGUUCACUGGCAUCAAUUUUAGGACUCAGCAAAUAUUUAAAUGGAUAAUUCGCCAUCAAGUGAGGAAUGAUCCAUUUAAAUCAUAUUUGAGAGUCACAUUUAUUUGUAUAUAAGUAUGAUUUCUUGGACAAUAAGGCCAAUCACAGACUAAUUUGGACAAUUGGGAAAAAUUAAAUAAAUAAAAA
ensembl:lncRNA